GACGUAGGAUGCAAGCGUUGUCCGGAUUUAUUGGGCGUAAAGAGUUCGUAGGUGGUUCGUUAAGUCUGAUGUUAAAGACCGAGGCUCAACUUCGGGACUGCAUUGGAUACUGGCGGACUUGAGUGUGGUAGAGGCAAUCGGAAUUCCAGGUGUAGCGGUGAAAUGCGUAGAUAUCUGGAAGAACACCGGUGGCGCAAGCGGAUUGCUGGGCCAUAACUGACACUGAGGAACGAAAGCUAGGGGAGCGAAUGGG
rnacentral:rRNA from 1 species